rnacentral:piRNA from 1 species
UAAUUAUGGCGAAAAAAAAAC